GGCUCCAUAAAACAGUUGUAACCUAUCAUCGAAUAAAUUCUUAUAUGGAUAUCCCCGGUAAUUCUGGGGCUAAUACAUGCGAAAUCAUCCCUAAUCCCGGGCAACUGGGAGAGGGGACGCUCAGCGCCCAACAUCAUAAACCGACUGGUGUAUGAAGACGAGCUGAGCACGACCGCGCAAGCGGCGUCUGAUGACCGGCUUCUGACCUAUCAACUCACGAUGCAGGCGUAAUGCACAAACAUGGUAACAACGGGUACAGAGGAUAAGGGUUCGAU
rnacentral:rRNA from 1 species